rnacentral:rRNA from 1 species
UACGGAGGGUGCAAGCGUUAGUCGGAAUUACUGGGCGUAAAGGGUGCGUAGGCGGAAAUAUAAGUCAGAUGUGAAAUACUGAAGCUCAACUUCAGCUGUGCAUCUGAAACUGUAUUUCUCGAGGGAGAGCGGAGAAAACGGAAUUCCACGUGUAGCGGUGAAAUGCGUAGAUAUGUGGAAGAACACCGGUGGCGAAGGCGGUUUUCUAGCUCACCCCUGACGCUGAGGCACGAAAGCAAGGGGAGCAAACAGG